GGGCUCUUAGCUCAGCUGGAUAGAGCGUCGGCCUCCGGAGCCGAAGGUCACAGGUUCGAAUCCUGUAGAGCCCG
rfam:Sandaracinus amylolyticus strain DSM 53668, complete genome.